rnacentral:lncRNA from 1 species
AGCUUUCAAGCCCAGCACAAAAUCUUGAAGGGAAUCAGGAGUUGUUCCAAUGGUCACACCUCUCUGCUAAGCAACCAGAUGUUUCAGGUUUGAAUCUUCAGUGGUGCAUCGUCAGGUAUUUGGACUUGGAUAUUUAAAGUGCUGAUGGGUCUGCCCCACAUUCGUGCCAAAAAAAAAAACUAUAUCUAGAAAAUUUUUUAUCAAGCCUGUCAAGUUAUAAAGCAAUCGGUCCAACAAAUUAUUCAUUGGAUAUAUAAAUAUGUACAUAUUUUCUCUCAAAAAAAUUAAGUUUGCACAUAUUCAUAACACAUCUUUGUAAUAUGGACGUGUCGCCAUAUCUGAACACUUGACACUAGUGUCAUGUUUCCAGGUAACAUUGCCAUGAGACCAAGAAGGUAAAACACUAAACAGCAAGGUGGAUCAAUCCAAUUUGACAUUUACAUUCAUUGCAACUCAGGAGCAACCUCCAGGAGUCUCCUGGACUUGGAACGAGUGUAGAUAAGAGGGCAAGGUCUGAUAAUGUGAAUGCAUAAAUUGGAAGACAGUUAAUUAAACUACAGGCUCUGUAAUUCCAACAGACAAAUAUUGUGAGUAGGAUGUGGGAUUAAACACAUGCCCGCACCAUCCUCACAUACUUUCCUUGUUCAAGUUUUGAUGUCCUCAUCAGAUUAAGGGUUUAAAUCCAUUCAAAUCUAAUCACAAACACCACGGUCGGUUCGUGGUCAGCCCCAAUGGAUUCGUGCUGCAGUGUCCCCGAGUCCACAUAGGUUAUGGGCUGAGUCCGCUCUGAUACUGUUUGUCACAACCUAGGAUCUUACCCAAAAUGGCUAGUCGGAAGGUAUUAUUUAGGUUCACUCAAGAUCUACCCAACAAAUAACUGAUGUGGGAUUAAACACACGCCCACACGAGUCUGCACACUAUGAAUACACAACAUUUGAUUAAUCCUUUAAAAUAUAGAAAAGGUGGGCCAGACUACUAGCAUUGCCAUGACACUUCCACUGCAAUCAUAGAAAAAGAAACCUGACCUACCACAAAUGGUCUGAUGAAAGUAGAAGGUCUUUAGCAAUAAUUCAGAUGCAUGUGAGAACCUUUUAUUUGUUUAUGCACAUCGUACAUCUUAUGGGAUAUAUAUGCUAGCAAAAUGGUUGGUUUAUGAGUCCCAAUCAAAUUGUAGGGAUUUGAAUCCAAAACUAGCAAAUGUUUGACAUCAAGAACUACUGAAACAGAGGUACAAAUUUUCCCUCUGCCCAUCUCCCAUUCAAAGUAAAUACUAGAAGGGCUCGUUUGGUUUGCGGGAAAAGGAGGGAAAGUGUGGUCAACGGGAAAGUAAUGAAAUGCCUCUUGUUUGGUUGGAGUUUUCAAAGGAGAGAGAUGGAAAAGUAACAUUCCCAUGAGAAUAUGAUUCCCACAUUUCAUGGAAAAAGUCUUUCCCAUGAGAAACAUGGGAAAGUUACUUUCCUAUGAGCCAGGAAUCACUCCAUAUUAUUUUUUUUUCUAAAAAGGCCCUUCAGCAUUAAAGAGGCAUUUAAGACCUAAUUUUUAUUAAGAGUAUAAUAGGAAUUACACAUAACUUUUUCAGAAAAGUGGAUGAUCAACCAAACAUGCCAAAAGUAUUUUUCUAGGCAUUCUCUUUUUAGAAAUCUACUUCCCAGGAAUCAUAUUCCUAAGAGCGAAAAUGCUUCCCGCGAACCAAACGAGCCCGAAAAGGCAUCUAUUUACUGGAUCCACACUGGUUUUUUGUUUAAGCUUUGGAUCAUCAUUCCUAAUGUCAACUGUUCAUGUUUUUUGCAUCAUAUCAAGAUUGUUUGGCCUUCACCAUCUAUUUACACUUCCUCAGGAAAUCCUAAUCGACCCCAUCAUUAGUUGCCCUACAAUCUGCCCAGAAUAAUGAUUCUAUCCUAAUUUUCUUUAAAGUGAGGAGGAAAUGGUUUAGCCCAGAAUAAUGAUUCUAUCCUAAUUAUCUCUUAUGCCAUAGUUUUUCUAUGAUCUAUGGCACCAUUUUCUUGAUUGACUGUUUAGCCCCAAUAUAAGGCUCCUUUUAGUCAGAACUUUCUUGGUGAUGUCUCGUUUUCCUACUUGUUGAAAUAUACAGGCGUGCAUCUUGGCAAAGCAUGAGGCCGGUCAGUCCUCAAGUGAGAUAGUGUGUCUGCUCCCUCUAAUCUUAUAUAUAAGGGCAUUUGUUCAUGUAUUGAAUACGCCUUUUUGCAUGUAUAGAGUUGUAAACUUGCAAUUUAUAUGUACAACUAAGCAAUGACAUUGGUUUAACUAUAAUUCAGUGGGGUUAAAAGACAACUCAGCCUACAAAAUUAUGACUAGCUCAUCUUUGACAUUAGUAGCUAUGAUAUUUCAAAGAAAAUUUAAGCAAAUGUGCAAGGCUAAUUUAGACUUCUUGCUGCUAAACAGACAUCCUUCUAUUCCUAAACAGCUUAUCAGCCAGAAAGUGUGUACACCAAAAAGCUAUUUGCAUAAGUAUACUUGAAAAUAAAAAUUAUGAGGUUAAAUAGCUUAAAAAACCAUUCCUCAGUUUCAACACAUCAGAGAUGGUGGAUUAAUAUGGCAAGCUCCAGAGAUAAGCUUUCCUGGAUAUUUUAUAUGCCACCACCUAUUCUGCAAGCAGUGUGGAAGAACUACAGUGCUUCCAUAAUCCAUACGGCAUUUCAGUUGUCUUCACAACUCAAAGAAGCUCUCUUCUCAGACAUAACCUGCCUAUGCAGCCUGGGCCAUAGAGAGUCCAAUAUGCAUAUUACUCAUCCAAACAUCUCAGCUGGCUUAAGCAUUUUUGGAAAAUGUUUUGUAAAAUUAUUUUAAUACGCAGAUUCAUAACCAAUAUCUAGAAAAGAAGAAAGCUUCGGUUCAAAUAUUAUUAUAGUGGAUCAAACUAAUAGUUGGAGUCGACUCUCAAAACACUUCGGAAAAUGAAAAUUGAUAAAUUUUGAUAACUGUUCAAGUGUCCGACAUGUAUCUAACUAAUAUGUAUCCGACAUAGAUUCUAGGAGCUAGAUGCGAGUGUCCAAAGUAACACGGCGUGCAAUUUAGCUACUUACCACAUUUUACAGAUGGAAGAAUGAAGGCCAGAAUCCAUAGAAAUCAUCAACUCUGUCACCUAGUAUUGCCUCUCAAAACUCGUCGUUCGCUUCUCCCAAACUCCUCUCUCUCUCUAUUUCUUUGAAACCCUAGCAUUCGGUCUUCCCAUUUUUCCAAGAAAUUCUCAACCCAUUGAAAGAGAAAUCCUUUUUCUUGAUCUGAUCUGGGGCUCAAAGAAUCCCAAGAUGACACUGGGUCUCCAGAGAUGGGGGAUUCGGAUGUCCAAAAUUUGGAGGGCAGUGCGAUGGUGAGGAAGAUGAGGAGUCUCGUGAUGGAGGAAUGGAUGAGCAGUAUCCCUGAGCCAGGCUCAGGACGGGUGAAGCAUCCAGGCUCAGGAAGGGAGGCUCCGAGAAAACAGUUCAAGUCAAAAAUAUUUUCCAUCCACAUAAUAAGUUUGCCUCAUACAAAAGGAUCCAUGUUUACCGAGACCCCUUUUUAAUCUCAUUUCCAAAAUCGACAACAGGUCCAGAAUCAUAGAUAUCAAUUGAGGAAAGCUAUAAUUUUAGCCAAAAAAAACCUCUUUUUAAUCCAGUAAUGUCUGUAAAGAAACUGUAAUAAUUAUUCUAAAAUUCUUAUGUCCUCCAUCUAAUUUGUUUUCCUAAACAGUUUCCAAAGCCCUUAUCACCAACCAAAAGAAACAUAGCUAUUAAUGAUUCCAAUGAAUGAAUAAAAUUUAAUAAAAUAAAUCAAAUCUCUGUGCUUUGGCCUUUGGAGUCUAAUGAAGGAUAGAUUAGUUUGCGAAUCUAUCUACAAACAGCGAGGUGAAUAAUGAAUUCGAUUGGGAACAAAAGGAGGGCACACAAAUUAAUGAGAUUAAGCAUGAACAGACGAAGACCCCGCGAAUUAGAGAGGAUACCAUGCGGCGGAGUUGUUCUUGAGGGAUCCCGGAGACGAUCCCAAUCUCCCUGGUCUUGAGCUCGACAAGGGGCAUCAGAAGCGAGCAAUCUCGACUGCGAGAGUUGAGAGGUGCGGGCGAGGAGGAAGCGAGCUAUGGAGAGGUUUUUUCGUUGCAGCGCCGGAAAGAAGGCGGAUGGGAGUCUUCGCCGUCUUCCCGGAGCUGAGCG